UACGUAGGGUGCGAGCGUUAAUCGGAAUUACUGGGCGUAAAGCGUGCGCAGGCGGCUUUGCAAGACAGAUGUGAAAUCCCCGGGCUCAACCUGGGAACUGCAUUUGUGACUGCAAGGCUAGAGUACGGCAGAAGGGGAUGGAAUUCCGCGUGUAGCAGUGAAAUGCGUAGAUAUGCGGAGGAACACCAAUGGCGAAGGCAAUCCCCUGGGCCUGUACUGACGCUCAUGCACGAAAGCGUGGGGAGCAAACAGG
rnacentral:rRNA from 1 species